rnacentral:rRNA from 1 species
GACGAACGCUGGCGGCGUGCUUAACACAUGCAAGUCGAACGAUGAAGCCGGAGCUUGCUCUGGUGAAUUAGUGGCGAACGGGUGAGUAACACGUGAGUAACCUGCCCUUGACUCUGGGAUAACUGCUAGAAAUGGUAGCUAAUACCGGAUACGACCCUCGGAGGCAUCUCCAGGGGGUGGAAAGAAUUUCGGUCAAGGAUGGACUCGCGGCCUAUCAGCUAGUUGGUGUGGUAAUGGCUCACCAAGGCGACGACGGGUAGCCGGCCUGAGAGGGUGACCGGCCACACUGGGACUGAGACACGGCCCAGACUCCUACGGGAGGCAGCAGUGGGGAAUAUUGCACAAUGGGCGCAAGCCUGAUGCAGCAACGCCGCGUGAGGGAUGACGGCCUUCGGGUUGUAAACCUCUUUUAGCAGGGAAGAAGCGAAAGUGACGGUACCUGCAGAAAAAGCACCGGCUAACUACGUGCCAGCCGCCGCCGUAA